AACAGGAUUAGAUACCCUGGUAGUCCACGCUGUAAACGAUGUCGACUUGGAGGUUGUGCCCUUGAGGCGUGGCUUCCGGAGCUAACGCGUUAAGUCGACCGCCUGGGGAGUACGGCCGCAAGGUUAAAACUCAAAUGAAUUGACGGGGGCCCGCACGAGCGGUGGAGCAUGUGGUUUAAUUCGAUGCAACGCGAAGAACCUUACCUACUCUUGACAUCCAGAGAAUUUGCUAGAGAUAGCUUAGUGCCUUCGGGAACUCUGAGACAGGUGCUGCAUGGCUGUCGUCAGCUCGUGUUGUGAAAUGUUGGGUUAAGUCCCGCAACGAGCGCAACCCUUAUCCUUUGUUGCCAGCGAGUAAUGUCGGGAACUCAAAGGAGACUGCCGGUGAUAAACCGGAGGAAGGUGGGGAUGACGUCAAGUCAUCAUGGCCCUUACGAGUAGGGCUACACACGUGCUACAAUGGCAUAUACAAAGAGAAGCGAACUCGCGAGAGCAAGCGGACCUCAUAAAGUAUGUCGUAGUCCGGAUUGGAGUCUGCAACUCGACUCCAUGAAGUCGGAAUCGCUAGUAAUCGUAGAUCAGAAUGCUACGGUGAAUACGUUCCCGGGCCUUGUACACACCGCCCGUCACACCAUGGGAGUGGGUUGCAAAAGAAGUAGGUAGCUUAACCUUCGGGAGGGCGCUUACCACUUUGUGAUUCAUGACUGGGGUGAAGUCGUAACAAGGUAACC
rnacentral:rRNA from 1 species